rnacentral:rRNA from 1 species
UAGGGAAUCUUCGGCAAUGGACGAAAGUCUGACCGAGCAACGCCGCGUGAGUGAAGAAGGUUUUCGGAUCGUAAAACUCUGUUGUUAGAGAAGAACAAGGACGUUAGUAACUGAACGUCCCCUGACGGUAUCUAACCAGAAAGCAACGGCUAACUACGUGCCAGCAGCCGCGGUAAUACGUAGGUGGCAAGCGUUGUCCGGAUUUAUUGGGCGUAAAGCGAGCGCAGGCGGUUUCUUAAGUCUGAUGUGAAAGCCCCCGGCUCAACCGGGGAGGGCCAUUGGAAACUGGGAGACUUGAGUGCAGAAGAGGAGAGUGGAAUUCCAUGUGUAGCGGUGAAAUGCGUAGAUAUAUGGAGGAACACCAGUGGCGAAGGCGGCUCUCUGGUCUGUAACUGACGCUGAGGCUCGAAAGCGUGGGGAGCAAACAGG